AGACGUCUACAUUAGAUACCCCGGUAGUCCCAGCCGUAAACGAUGUGCGUUAGGUGUAUCGGUGACCACGAGUUACCGAGGUGCCGAAGGGAAACCGUGAAACGUGCCGCCUGGGAAGUACGGUCGCAAGGCUGAAACUUAAAGGAAUUGGCGGGGGAGCACCGCAACGGGAGGAGCGUGCGGUUCAAUUGGAUUCAACGCCGGACAACUCACCAGGAGCGACGGUUACAUGAAGGCCAGGCUGAUGACCUUGCCUGAUUUUCCG
rnacentral:rRNA from 1 species